GUCCACGCCGUAAACGAUGAGUGCCAGGUGUCGGGGGACUUAGUCCUUCGGCGCCGCAGCUAACGCCUUAAGCACUCCGCCUGGGGAGUACGGCCGCAAGGUUAAAACUCAAAGGAAUUGACGGGGGCCCGCACAAGCGGUGGAGCAUGUGGUUUAAUUCAACGCAACGCGCAGAACCUUACCAGGCCUUGACAUCCUACGCCCGCCGGAGAGAUCCGGUUUUCCUUUCGGGGACGUAGAGACAGGUGCUGCAUGGCUGUCGU
rnacentral:rRNA from 1 species